UCAUGGUCUCUUAGAUCUCAACAAAAUUGACUGUAUAGCAAGAACGAUGAAAUUUCUUUAAUAAACUAGAUUAGGCAAGCAUUCAUUAAUCAAUUUUGGAUUGCUUUUUAUUUAGUUGGGUUAUUUUAUCUGUAGUAAUCAACAUACAAAAUAGUUGAAAAUUUGCUUACCAAAAAAUCAUCGAAUUUACUUGUUACAAUGAUAUAAUGAAAUUGGACUACAGUGAGUGAACAUCGUAUAAUGCUAAAAGAAAAGGC